rnacentral:rRNA from 1 species
CCUACGGGUGGCAGCAGUGAGGAAUAUUGGUCAAUGGGCGUAAGCCUGAACCAGCCAAGUCGCGUGAGGGAUGAAGGUUCUAUGGAUCGUAAACCUCUUUUAUAAGGGAAUAAAGUGUGGGACGUGUCCUGUUUUGUAUGUACCUUAUGAAUAAGGAUCGGCUAACUCCGUGCCAGCAGCCGCGGUAUACGGAGGAUCCGAGCGUUAUACGGAUUUAUUGGGUGUAAAGGGUGCGUAGGCGGUAUUUUAAGUCAGCGGUGAAAGUCUGUGGCUCAACCAUAGAAUUGCCGUUGAAACUGGGAGGCUUGAGUAUGUUUGAGGCAGGCGGAAGGCGUGGUGUAGCGGUGAAAUGCUUAGAUACCAGGAAGAACCCCGAUUGCGAAGGCAGCCUGCCAAGCCAUGACUGACGCUGAUGCACGAAAGCGUGGGGAUCAAACAGGAUUAGAUACCCCGGUAGUC